rnacentral:misc_RNA from 1 species
CUGAUCAGGUUGUCCGAGACAUCCAAGGGAAAUUUGCUUUUAUUCUAUAUGAUAGCUCUUCAAAAACCACAUUUAUAGCUGCUGAUACUGAUGGAAGUGUACCUUUCUUCUGGGGAGCUGAUUCUGAAGAUAAUCUUGUUCUUUCAGAUGAUGUUCAGAUUGUGCAGCAGACCUGUGGGAAAUCAUUUGCACCAUUCCCUAAAGGAUGCUUCUUUACAACUUCGGGAGGCUUGAGGAGCUUUGAGCACCCUCU